UAAACUGUCAACCCUGAUGAGAUCAUCCGAAUCGUGCUCAACUCAAUUAGUCUUGUGACUCCUCACUAGGACUACCCUGGCCAAGAUUUUGCUAAAUUGAAACACGACUGUACACAGCUCCUCAACUGGAGUGGUCAAUCCCAUCUUGACACACGCACCGACAAGUCAAGUACUUGACUACACCCAGCAGCCUUCCGUCACUGAAAUAGAAAUUCAGGUAGUCCAGUGCCUAAGUACAGUGAGUUGCUUGCAAGUCACCGUGGCGGUUU
rnacentral:lncRNA from 1 species